rnacentral:lncRNA from 1 species
UUCUCACCAUAACCCCAUAGGGUAGGGGGAAUUUUGUGGAACAAUGCCUCACUUAAAUACAACUCAGGCACAAGUCAAGACAUCAUCCCAUGAUAUCAUCGGUCCUCUUCAAAAAUGAAGGAUGCACAACAACAAGGUUGGGAGUGACUAUCUAUGAUGAUUUGUCGGUGAAUGUGACACCAGGAUUGACCCCAUACAUAAAAAGGGUAGUUGUUUGUCUAUGUGGAAUGACUGAUAGCCCUGGGAAAGAUCCUUUCAGCUCAAAUUCUUCCUUCCUCUGUCUGGGACUCAAAACCACGUAACCUUCCUGACUGCCAUUGCCAACUGUGAAGGUAGACCAGAAUGAGCUCCAUCUUUCAGAAUCUUUGGCUUCUUUCAAGAUUUUGUUCAGUACCACCUCCUCUGUGAAGUAUUCUGGGUUGCCCCAAUUUUUAAUUUUCCUGAAAUUUUCUCCUGAAAUUUUCCAGAAUAACUUGGUCAAAAUUUCUCCUUGAUUCUUUUCUGUCCCAGUUCUAUACUUAAAGGUACAUAUGGUGAAACCAUCCAGGAGAAUGUCUCUUAUUUGGCAGUAGAAAGAAGCCUUUCUUGUUUGGCAUCAUGGGAUUCUAAAGCUAGAAAUAGAAGAUAUCACCUGAUCCAAUCCACUCAUAUUAUAGAUGAAGAAACUGAGACCCAGAGAAAUCAAAUGACUUUUCAAUAGAGUACAGGCUGAGAUGUCAAACCAGGUCCUCUGACUGUAUGACCAGCCCUAGCACAACGCUUUGAACAAAGAGGGCUCUUCAAGUUUUGGAACAAAUACUUGGGUGAUUGAAAUGUCUAUACAUAAAGAUUCAUUUCUUUGGGUCAAAGUAUUAAGAUAAUAAUAAUAGCUCCCUUUUAAUAACACUCUGUUCUACAAAAUGCUUUACCCAUAUGAUAUCAUUUGGUCCUCACAAUGACCUUGGAAGAGGUUAUUAUUUAAUUUAG